rnacentral:rRNA from 1 species
CUACGGGUUGCUGCAGUGAGGAAUAUUGCACAAUGGGGGGAACCCUGAUGCAGCAACGCCGCGUGGAGGAUGACGCAUUUCGGUGUGUAAACUCCUUUUAUAUGUCAAGAAAAUGACGGUAGCAUAUGAAUAAGCACCGGCUAACUCCGUGCCAGCAGCCGCGGUAAUACGGAGGGUGCAAGCGUUACUCGGAAUCACUGGGCGUAAAGGACGCGUAGGCGGGAUAUCAAGUCAGGUGUGAAAUCCUACAGCUUAACUGUAGAACUGCACUUGAAACUGGUAACCUAGAGUAUGGGAGGGGGAGAUGGAAUUAGUGGUGUAGGGGUAAAAUCCGUAGAUAUCACUAGGAAUACCUAAAGCGAAGGCGAUCUCCUGGAACAUAACUGACGCUAAGGCGUGAAAGCGUGGGGAGCAAACAGGAUUAGAUACCCGAGUAGUC